GGACCCCAAGGACCCCCCGGAGGCGUCGGGAAUUUGGGACCUCCCGGAGAAAAGGGUGACCCCGGUGAACCCGGAACCCCCGGAAUUCAAGGAGAACCCGGAAUCAAGGGUCCUCACGGGGAUCGAGGGGAGAAAGGGGAGAGCGGAGCCCCCGGAGCCGCGGGACCCCCGGGGGGRAGAGGAAAACCCGGGGACAGCGGAC